AUGUGUUUAGUGUGAAUGUGCAUUUAGAAUAGAGAAAUUGUAAUUUUCCUGUCUCUCAGCCGUUCAUUCCACGCAUAACCUAAAAAUGAACAGAAAUAAGCAUCUGCUGAGAGUGGUUUAGGCUUUUAAGAAUUAUUUAAAAGUGAAAUAGCCGAUAACUUUAGUAUUUCCGAUUGAUUUAUUUCAAUAUUUAUAUUAUCUUUCACUUAUUUUGAGCUAAAGACUAGCAGACUUGACAAGUGCUUGAAUUUCCUACUAAUGUCAACUAACAGUUCCAAAUGAUCAAGUUUUAAGUACUGUAUUAUGACUUCUCUGAAGGAAACAUUUUUCGUCUGAACCAGAAAUUAUCAUUGAACAUAGCAAUGUAAAACAUAGCAAAAGUACUCUUUCUUAAAAAGGAGAAAAAGAAGUAGUCAAGAUAUGAUUCUCAUUUGUAGAAUCUGAUAAAAUUAUUAGCCACUAGAUGGUGUCUUAUAUUGAAAAUGUAACACAGAGCCACUAGAUGGCGUCUCAUAAUGUAAAUGUAAUAUAGAUUGGUUUAAGAAUUCAAUGAAGGCAGAUGUAAGCCUAAUGUACCAACAGAAAUUUUUGUUAUUGUUUGAAAUGAGAGCUCAGAUAAAGCAGAAAAAAUUAGAAGGCUCUAUAAACUACCAAAUAAAAAGUUUGAAACAAUUUUGUAAUUAGAAGUAGGGAUAUAACGAAUAUUCGGCCGCAGCCCUUUUGCUGAAUAUUUGGCGAAAUAUGCGGCUAAAUGUUCAGACAAAUAUUCCUUAAAGUAUUUUUUGGAAAAGUACUUUCGACAAAGUUUUAUUGGGAGGAAUUUGAACAAAUUUAAUAAAGCAUAAUCUAUAAUCGUAUCUUUUACUAUCCAUUAUUAAAAAUAGUUUUUUACACAUAUUGUCCAAGUUCUAAAACAUGUUAAUUUAUAUUUUGACAAAUGAAAAAGCAAAACUUGAAGAAUUGAAACUAGAUCACUUUAUACUUAACAUUAAGUUUUGUACAACUGAUUUUUAUUUUAAUAGCAUUCAGGCAAGUCUGUUUCUUAAUUUUUUCAACACUUUUUUCUUUUAUUUUUUUUUUAAGAAUUUAGAAUUUUUUAGUUUUAAUUAUAGCACAGCAUUUUAACAGAGCAUUUCUUAUGAACUUAAUUCUUUUAUUGUCACUUUUUUCCUGUAGGAUAAGACAGAUUACUGGUAAAAGUGUGAUUCUCAAUGUUAAAGUUAUUUCAUAACUAAGAAAUUUUUUUUCUCUGUUUUACUUUUUUUUUUUUGUUUGUUAGAGUUUAUAAAGAGUGUUUCAAAUAAACUUGAUUCUUUUAUGGUCCUUUUUCUGAA